GGGCGAUUAGCUCAGCGGUAGAGCGCUGCCUUCACACGGCAGAAGUCACAGGUUCAAGCCCUGUAUCGCCCACCA
rnacentral:tRNA from 1 species